AACGCACCUUGCACCCUCUGGUAUUCCGGAGGGUAUGCCUGUCUGAGUGUCACGUCAGCCUUCGUCCCCCCCGGUUCUCCCGUGGGGGGGUCGGAAUUGGGUGCUGCCCUGAACUGGGCUCGCCUCAAAUGCAUCGGUGGCCACGCCGUGGCUCGGUCUUGCGUGAUAUGUAUCGCUCGACCGUGCCCCGACGGCCUCCUAGAAACCGCCCGUGGCCUCGGCCCGGGAUCUCUAUGAUAGACCUCAGAUCAGGUAGGACUACCCGCUGAACUUAA
rnacentral:misc_RNA from 1 species